UUAUGACUACACUUAAUGAUC
ensembl:piRNA 21ur-14497 ncRNA